rnacentral:rRNA from 1 species
GGAAUAUUGGUCAAUGGGCGGGAGCCUGAACCAGCCAAGUCGCGUGAGGGAAGACGGUCCUACGGAUUGUAAACCUCUUUUGCCGGGGAGCAACGGGGUCCUUGCGAGGGCCCAAUGAGAGUUCCCGGAGAAAAAGCAUCGGCUAACUCCGUGCCAGCAGCCGCGGUAAUACGGAGGAUGCGAGCGUUAUCCGGAUUUAUUGGGCGUAAAGAGGGAGCAGGCUGCUGAACAGGUCUGUGGUGAAAGCCCGAAGCUAAACUUCGGUAAGCCAUGGAAACCGGACAGCUAGAGUGCGUCAGAGGAACGUGGAAUUCCAUGUGUAGCGGUGAAAUGCGUAGAUAUAUGGAGGAACACCAGUGGCGAAGGCGACGUUCUGGGGCGCAACUGACGCUCAUUCCCGAAAGCGUGGGGAGCAAAUAG